UGAGACAGAGUCUUGCUCUGUCGCCAGGCUGGAGUGCAGCUCACUGCAACCUCCACCUCCUAGGUUCAAGCAAUUCUCCUGCCUCAGCCUCCAGAGUAGCUGGGACUACAGGCACAUGAACCUUGCAUUGUCCUCAUGAGAGUCCCCAGGCAGCAGCCCUGAAAUCAUGGUCUAGGGAGGCUUUGACGGCAGCAAAGGCCAGGCUGAUGGGCGGAAUGAGUCACCUGCAGCAUUCAGACCACCUGUUGGGAAUCGCGAGGCGGCUGGCUGCAUUGUGUUUUGGAGGUCAGAAGCCUGGGUUUCACCAGACUAAAGUCGAGGUGUCUGCAGGCUGCAUUUCUUUCUGGAGGCUCUAAAGAAGAAUCCACUUCUUACUCAUCCAGGUUGGCAGAAGGGAAUUGCUCCAGGGCCCUGACUUGGUCGGGGGUAAGGGCAGACCAGUGAAAGCUGACCAGAUUUCAGACCUAAUGGCCACCGAGGAGACCAAGGAGUUUAGGGUUCAAACAUGACAGGUCACUCUAACUCUACACUCUCCUGCCCACCCUUAUGCAUAUCACCCCAUCCAUCCCCACAAAUGCUGCAGGACGUGGCAGGCUGUGGGAGGAAGAGGCUUGAGGAACAGUGGGGUUUGCUUGGGGCUUCUUCAGACCAGGGUCCUGAGGAAUCGCCUGUGGCCCCUGGUGUUGCACAGGGUGGAGCAGUGGCUCAAUACAUCAAACUGUGGGCUGGAGCAGUCCCCUGGGAAGGGGACCAUCACCUAUCAUUUAAUUCCAGGGGCACAAAAAAUGGAAGACACCCAAGCAAACCCUCAGCAGGGCAGUGGAGUCACCAUAAAAACUCAAGACAACCAGCUGGGCGCAGUGGCUCACACCUGUAAUCCCAGCACUUUGGGAGGUCCAGGCAGGAGGAUCACCUGAGGUCAGGAGCUGGAGGCCAGCCUGGCCAACAUGGUGAAACCCUGUCUCUACUAAAAACAUAAAAAUUAGCCGGGUGUGGUGGUGGGCACCUAUGGUCCCAGCUACUUGGGAGGCUAAGGCAGGAGAAUCACUUGGACCUCGGAGGCAGAGGCUGUAGUGAGCUGAGAUCGCAACACUGCACUCCAGCCUGGGCAACAGAGCAAAACUGUCUCAAAAAAAAGAGAAGGCCAGGCGCAGUGGCUCACACCUGCAAUCCUAGCACUUUGGGAGGCCAAGGCGGGUGGAUCACGAGGUCAAGAGAUCGGGACUAUCCUGGUCAACAUGGUGAAACCCUGUCUCUACUAAAAAUACAAAAAUUAGCUGGGUGUGGUGGCAGACGCCUGUAGUCCCAGCUACUAGGGAGGCUGAGGCAGGAGAAUUGCUUGAACCCGGGAGGCAGAGGUUGCAGUGGGCCGAGAUCGCACCACUGCACUCCAGCCUGGGUAACAAGAGCGAAACUCAGUCUCAAAAAAAAAAAGAGAAGAAACUCAAGACAAUGCUUCUUUUCCAGUGCCAUGUACUUGCUCUGUGCAGAGCCAUGGCUAUGAGACCAGCGCUUCAUCUGCUCCCACAGCCGGAGGAAAGCAGCCCUGGGCCAACCAAGGGCUAGGCCAUUCAGGCCCUUACUCAGGAAGUGCAGGCUCGGUGGGAAUGGCCUGGCCUCCCACACUGCAGCUCCAAGCUGUGCUUGGUCCCAGCUGGGCCAGAAGACGGUCCUGACAGGCAGGGGGCGUCAGGUCCCACCUCCACCCAGGGACUAACAUUAAGCAGAAAAGCAUCCUAGAACAGGCACAGAACAAGGGGUGGUCCUGCUGUGUAGGAGACAGCAUUGAGGCCCCUCCAUCCAGAGACAAGAGAGCUGUUGAGGUGCCUGUAUGUGGCAGGUGGAUUAUCCUAGGUCAGCACCCCAUCCAGGCUCCAGAUCCAACGCAGGCUCGCCCCUCCUCAGCCAAUGCUCCCACCGGGCACAGCUGCAGCAUUCCGAGUACCAUUGCAGGCAACCGGCUCAAUGGUAGCUUCUCCCUGGCCCUCCAACCAGGCCCCAUCCCUUCAGUCUCAGACACAAAGUCCAGCUUGUAUGGAAGGAAAGGAGCCACCCAGGAGGCAGAGGACAGUUUCCUACUGCUCAGAGAAACAGCUAUGGCAGGAACUGAACCCACUACUGAAUCCAGGCCUUGGGCCCCACAGGGUUCCCUAGACAUCAUGCAGAAAGGCCAAACAAGACCACACUAAGGCAGGAGAGUCGGGUCCCCUCUCAGCAAUGUCAACAUCAAUCAGGGAACAGCCUGCAGAAGAGGAGCUGGGAAAACGUGUGUUCUGACACCCAGGGCCUGAGGCCAACCACAGCCCUCAGCUCUCACCUGACAUCUUUGCCCACUGUUCCAGACACAGGCAUCCUGGCAGCCUCAGCUCCACAGGGGACACUGAACCUGUGUCUGUUCAGAGAUCAGUCAAGUCACCCCAGCAAAGAAGAUGCAAACGAGAGGUAAAGCCAUGUCUUCCUGGAGGGUGCAACGCAGCAGGCCUGAGUGUUCCUUCCACAGUGAUCAGCACUCCAGCUCAGCAGCCUUUCAAAACAUCGUCCCUGCUGAGGCACUACCUGCCCCUCAUAACCAGGAGAAAGGAUUGCUGAGGAAGGACUCCUGGGGACAGAGGAAUGGCAGAUUCCACAAGUCAAACAGAGGAAAAAAGGGAAGCUGGCCUAUAGAACAAAGACCAGUUAGUCCAUAGCCAUGUAUGGAGAGUGCUAGAAGGAAAGGGGCCCUAGAAUUGACAUUUAAAAAGCAAGCAGCGGCCGGGCACGGUGGCUGACGCCUAUAAUCCCAGCACUUUGGGAGGCCGAGGCGGGUGGAUCACGAGGUCAAAAGAUCGAGACCAUCCUGGUCAACAAGGUGAAACCCCGUCUCUACUAAAAAUACAAAGUUAGCUGGGCAUGGUGGUGCACGCCUGUAGUCCCAGCUACUCGGGAGGCUGAGGCAGAAUUGCUUGAACCCAGGAGACGGAGGUUGCGGUGAGCUGAGAUCAUGCCAUUGCACUCCAGUCUGGGUAACAACAACAAAACUCCGUCUCAAAUUAAAAAAAAAAAAAAAAAAAGGCAAGCAGCAGCUAGGCAUGGUGGCUCACGCCUGUAAUUCCAGCACUUUGGGAGGCCAAGGCAGGUGGAUCAUAAGGUCAGGAGAUCGAGACCAUCCUGGUUAACACAGUGAAACCCUGUCUACUAAAAUACAAACAAUCAUCUGGGUAUGGUGGCACGUGCCUGUAGUCCCAGCUACUCAGGAGGCUGGGGCAAUAGAAUCACUUGAACCAGGAGGCGGAGGUCGCAGUGAGCUGAGAUCCAGCCACUGUACUCCAGCCUAGUGACAGAGCGAGACUCCAAUUCAAAAAGAAAAAAAAAUUAGCUGGUGUGUCACACACCUGUAGUCCUAGCUACAUGGGAGGCUGAGGCAGAAUUGCUUGAAGCUGGGAGGCAGAGGUUGCAGUCAGCCAAGAUCACAUCACUGCACUCCAGCCUGACCAACAGAGUAAGACUCCGUCUCAAAGGCAAAGUUCUGCAAAGUCCCUACCCCUAAUUAGGAAGGGCACCAGCACCCAAGAAAUGGAGUCCACCAAAAAGGAAGACCAGGGCAGGCUGGAAGGCUGGCCCCUUAGAGGAGAGGCUGAAGACCCAGCCCUAACAGGACAGAUACACAGACACACACACACACACCCACUGGGCUUUUGCACAAACAAGGGAGCUGGAGGGGAUGAGCCACAAAAGCUGCCCAGUGACAACAGGCUUUGUCUUCCCAGGAAGUCAGGCACCAUUUAAAGGCACAGAAGCACACGAGGAGUCCGGCUGAGGCACACACAACACAGGGCAGCCAGCUGGGUGCUCUUCCCCACAUCCCCACCAGUGCCAGUGGAGGCAUGAGCUCAGGCAGGAGGGAAGGCACCAUGAAUUUCUGAAGUAAGGUUUAAAUAGAUUUUAUUGUUACAACGGGGACCCCACCAAGCAGGGUCAAUAUUUGUGGUCCUAGGAGGUCACCAUGGAGACAUCGAGAGGUCAUAAUCGCAUAAGAGGUGACUGGAAUUGAACGA